GAUGAAGAACGCAGCGAAAUGCUAUAAGUAGUGUGAAUUGCAGAAUUCAGUGAAUCAUCGAAUCUUUGAACGCACAUUGCGCCCUUUGGUAUUCCAAAGGGCAUGCCUGUUCGAGCGUCAUUUGUACCCUCAAGCUUUGCUUGGUGUUGGGCGUCUUGUCUCUAGCUUUGCUGGAGACUCGCCUUAAAGUAAUUGGCAGCCGGCCUACUGGUUUCGGAGCGCAGCACAAGUCGCACUCUCUAUCAGCAAAGGUCUAGCAUCCAUUAAGCCUUUUUUUCAACUUUUGACCUCGGAUCAGGUAGGGAUACCCGCUGAACUUAAGCAUAUCAAUAAGCGGAGGA
rnacentral:misc_RNA from 1 species